UGAAGGGAAGUGAGUUUUUUUGGAAGUAGUGGUCAAACCAAUCAGUCUUUAGAUCUGAAUAUUGGCACCUUUGUUGGCCACUAAGAAGGUGGACACGCCUCUGAGGACACGAGGGGUUAAAAGCCGGAUUUCCCAGCAGGACUCUCUCUUUCCUGCUCUGCUUUCGGAGAGGGAGCGUCUUCUCCUCUCCCCUGCCCAGGCCUGGGCUAGGCCGGGUGGGGGAGGGGAGCAAGGUGGGCCUGGCUGAGCAAGGCAGAAGAGAGUUAUCCCUGGACGCUGUAUUCUCAUAGUUGGUGGUUUUAGAAGAGAGAGAGGACAGCCUGGGACCGAGAGGGUAAUGUGAGAUGGAAAGAAGCCCCUUCGAUUGCCGGAAUGAAGAGGAGUGGCCAAUGAGGCUGGACUUUUCUUGCAUAAUGAUAGCCAUAGACGGACCCUGGACCCUCCUGACUAUAAAUAAGACUGUGUUUGGGUGGAUGUUUUUGGCUCAAACCCAGAGACGUUCUGGCCUGCUUCUUGGAGCCCCCGGCCCCAGGGGUAAAUGGGGGGGACCUGAGUCCCAAAAUGAGAAGAUGGCUGGUUUUUGGUACUUGGCCAAACAUCCUUAAAAAGAGCCCUGUUGCAGUGCAGGUCCAUGGACAGCAGUGAGAGUGCUGGACAUGGAAAGGAGGGUGUCACCCUGGCAGACUCUUCGAGGCAGUGCCAUGGGUGACGUGGGAACACGGGAUGGUGGACCUGUGUUUCCUGUGGGGGGAUGGUCUGUGGUGCGAGAGAGACUCCUCUCGUCCUGGAUGGAAUGUGGAUUGUCUGAAUUUUAAAGGAUGAUGAUGUGGAUUAGGAACCCAGGGUUGUUGAGGGAUUAAGCAAGUAGAUGAAGGUAAUGUGCUGGAGUCAACUGAGUGAGCAUGUAUGGAAUGGAAUUGGGGGGAGGAGAAGCAGUGUUUUGGGAGGUUUUCUCUUCUGCUUUUGGGUGGUUGGGUUUUUCUUUCCUUUUCUAUUGUCCAUUGUUAUGUAAUAUAAUAAAUUGUCUGUCUGUUUCAAGAA